UCAUCUUCCACAUUGGGUUGCAUUACAUC
rnacentral:sRNA from 1 species